GAUGAACGCUGGCGGCGUGCCUAAUACAUGCAAGUCGAGCGAACAGACGAGAGUGCUUGCACUCUCUGACGUUAGCGGCGGACGGGUGAGUAACACGUGGGUAACCUACCUAUAAGACUGGGAUAGCUUCGGGAAACCGGAGCUAAUACCGGAUAAUAUUUAGCUUCGCAUGAAGCAAUAGUGAAAGACGGUUCUGCUGUCACUUAUAGAUGGACCCGCGGUGUAUUAGCUAGUUGGUGAGGUAACGGCUCACCAAGGCAACGAUACAUAGCCGACCUGAGAGGGUGAUCGGCCACACUGGGACUGAGACACGGCCCAGACUCCUACGGGAGGCAGCAGUAGGGAAUCUUCCGCAAUGGACGAAAGUCUGACGGAGCAAUGCCGCGUGAGUGAAGAAGGUUUUCGGAUCGUAAAACUCUGUUGUAAGGGAAGAACAAGUACGUUAGUAACUGAACGUACCUUGACGGUACCUUACCAGAAAGCCACGGCUAACUACGUG
rnacentral:rRNA from 1 species